CCAUAAAUCCUGGUUCUUGUUUUUCUAGAAGAGUCCAGUGGGAGAGAGCAGACUCCCCUGGACCCAGCUGUGUCUCCAUGAAGAGUGACCGCUCUAUGGAUGAUCACCAACCAUCUAGGGAAAGCCCAGCGCAGAGAGCAGACUCCCCUGGAUCCAGCUGUGUCUCCAUGAAGAGUGACUGGUCUAUGGAUAUACCUUUCAACUUUAAAGAUGGAAAUCACCAACCUUCUAAGGAAAGACACCAGGAGAGGUCAAAGGUCACCAGUGCUAAGUCUCUACAGCAGCAUCAAACAGAG